AUGCGUCUUCCUCCUUGCUUCGCUCAAGUCCAAAGGAGAGGAGCUCCUUCUCUGCCCCGGCGAGCCUCGACGCCGAGCACCAGCAGGAAUUGCUUGCCGUGGACCCUCCUUGUUCCUCUCUCUCCCUCCGUCUUUCUUUUUCCCUCUCUGGUUCUCCCCUCACCUCGUCUCUCUCUUUGCUCUCUUCACAGGAGCACACCGGCGCCAUGGAAGUCACCGCCGGCCUACGUGUUCCCGCCGUGCCCCUGCUGCGCUGCCUCCAUUCCCACGCGUUCCCGCCGUGCCCCUGCUGUGCUGCCUCCAUUCCCACGCGUUCCCGCCGUGCCCCUGCUGUGCUGCCUCCAUUCCCAUGCCGUUCCCAGCGUGCCCCUGCUGCGCCGCCGUGCGUCUGUCGUCCGCGUCGGUGACUGCAGCUCCCAGCCAUGGCAUCCAUUGAGCCCUCCUGCCGCCGCCUCGCCGGCCUCGCUCAUGCCCAGCAGCCAACCAGAUGAGCGUCGCCCCCCUUCUUCUUCUUCCCAUUUUCCUCCCUGUGUUUCCCCUCUCUCAUCUCUCUCUGUUCUCUUUUUCUCUGUCGACAGGAGCCCGCGCCAUGGCCUUGCCGAGCGCCGCUGCGCCCAAGCUCCUCUGUCCGCGCUGCCGUUUGCCCGGAUCCGGCGCCAGCGGACCGGAUCCACCCGUCUGCGUGUUCCCGGCGCUGCCGGAGCCCCAAGUUCCCUCGUCGGCGUCCUGCUCAAGCCCCUGCGCCUGCGCCGCCCGCCAAGUCCCCUGCUUCACCCACUGCCGCCUGCUUCGUUUUGGUCAAGCAGAAUGCUCACCCAGCGCCACUGCUUCCUCUCCGUCCUGCUCGUUCGCGUUGCCACAAGCCCGCCAGUAGCAGCGCCGCUCGACUCCCUCGCCCGCAUCUCGCCAGUGCUCCACGCCGGGCUUGGCGUCCUUUUUCUUCUUCGGAAACGAUGGAUCAGGGAGCGCUCGCAACGCCCAGCUUCGUUGACCGACUCUACCUCGCUGACCCUCUCAACCGACAGCCACUUUGUCUCGCGCGUGGGCCAGAUCGAGUGA
rnacentral:rRNA from 1 species